rnacentral:rRNA from 1 species
UACGUAGGGUGCGAGCGUUGUCCGGAAUUAUUGGGCGUAAAGAGCUUGUAGGCGGUCUGUCGCGUCUGCUGUGAAAAUCCGGGGCUCAACCCCGGACUUGCAGUGGGUACGGGCAGACUAGAGUGUGGUAGGGGAGACUGGAAUUCCUGGUGUAGCGGUGAAAUGCGCAGAUAUCAGGAGGAACACCGAUGGCGAAGGCAGGUCUCUGGGCCGGAACUGACGCUGAGGAGCGAAAGCGUGGGGAGCGAACAGG